rnacentral:rRNA from 1 species
AACGAACGCUGGCGGCAUGCCUAACACAUGCAAGUCGAACGAGACCUUCGGGUCUUGUGGCGCACGGGUUCGUAACGCGUGGGAACCUUCCCUUAGGUUCGGAAUAACUCCCCGAAAGGGGUGCUAAUACCGGAUAAUGUCUUCGGACCAAAGAUUUAUCGCCUUUGGAUGGUCCCGCGUUGGAUUAGCUAGUUGGUAGGGUAAAAGCCUACCAAGGCGACGAUCCAUAGCUGGUCUGAGAGGAUGAUCAGCGACACUGGGACUGAGACACGGCCCAGACUCCUACGGGAGGCAGCAGUGGGGAAUAUUGGACAAUGGGCGGAAGCCUGAUCCAGCAAUGCCGCGUGAGUGAUGAAGGCCUUAGGGUUGUAAAGCUCUUUUACCCGGGAUGAUAAUGACAGUACCGGGAGAAUAAGCUCCGGCUAACUCCGUG